AGAGUUUGAUCCUGGCUCAGAGCGAACGCUGGCGGCGUGCUUAACACAUGCAAGUCGAACGGGUGUAGCAAUACACUCGUGGCGAACGGGUGCGUAACACGUGGAUAACCUUCCUUCAGGUGGGGAAUAACCCAGUGAAAAUUGGGCUAAUACCGCAUAACAUAACGGGGGCACAUGCUUCUGUUCUCAAAGGCGCAAGU
rnacentral:rRNA from 1 species